UUUUUUUUAAAAAAGAAUAAGAGGAGAAUAAACACAAACUUCAAAAAAAAAAGAGAAUCGACGAAACUGAUGAAAAGUGUUUUUGGUAUUUUGACUCGUUUCGGAUUUGAUUUUACCUUCAAAAAUAACACCGAACGGCCUGAAACUGAUACCAACUGAUGCGGAAACCCCGGAUCUAGACACAAGAGAAACACAAAUUAGAAAUAAAAAUGAGAAUAAAUAAAAUUAAUUAAAUAAUAAUAAAUAAAAAGAAAAAAUGAUAGAUUUGCCCUAUGGAACCCUUGGUUAACUUGUAACCAAAAACGCCAAUAAUUAAGCGGCUCCCUACGAAAC
rnacentral:lncRNA from 1 species